GGGCCCGCACAAGCGGUGGAGCAUGUGGUUUAAUUCGAUGAUACGCGAGGAACCUUACCAGGGCUUAAAUGUAGUGGGACAGGUCUAGAGAUAGACCCUUCUUCGGACUCAUUACAAGGUGCUGCAUGGUUGUCGUCAGCUCGUGCCGUGAGGUGUCAGGUUAAGUCCUAUAACGAGCGCAACCCCUAUCGUUAGUUGCCAGCGGGUAAUGCCGGGAACUCUAGCGAAACUGCCGGUGCAAACCGAGAGGAAGGUGGGGAUGACGUCAAAUCAUCACGGCCCUUACGUCCUGGGCUACACACGUGCUACAAUGGCCGGUACAGAGAGCAGCCACUACGCGAGUAGGAGCGAAUCCGACAAACCUAGUCGUAGUCCGGAUCGGAGUCUGCAACUCGACUCCGUGAAGUCGGAAUU
rnacentral:rRNA from 1 species